rnacentral:rRNA from 1 species
AUUGAACGCUGGCGGCUGCCUUACACAUGCAAGUCGAACGGCAGCACGGACUUCGGUCUGGUGGCGAGUGGCGAACGGGUGAGUAAUAUAUCGGAACAUACCCAGUAGUGGGGGAUAACUAUCCGAAAGGAUAGCUAAUACCGCAUACGAUCUGUGGAUGAAAGCAGGGGAUCUUCGGACCUUGUGCUAUUGGAAUGGCCGAUAUCUGAUUAGCUAGUUGGUAGGGUAAAAGCCUACCAAGGCGACGAUCAGUAGCUGGUCUGAGAGGACGACCAGCCACACUGGAACUGAGACACGGUCCAGACUCCUACGGGAGGCAGCAGUGGGGAAUUUUGGACAAUGGGGGCAACCCUGAUCCAGCAAUGCCGCGUGAGUGAAGAAGGCCCUCGGGUUGUAAAGCUCUUUUGUCAGGGAAGAAACGGAGUUCUCUAAUAUAGGAUUCUAAUGACGGUACCUGAAGAAUAAGCACCGGCUAACUACGUGCCAGCAGCCGCGGUAAUACGUAGGGUGCAAGCGUUAAUCGGAAUUACUGGGCGUAAAGCGUGCGCAGGCGGUUUUGUAAGUCUGAUGUGAAAUCCCCGGGCUCAACCUGGGAACUGCAUUGGAGACUGCAAGGCUAGAGUGUGUCAGAGGGGGGGUAGAAUUCCACGUGUAGCAGUGAAAUGCGUAGAGAUGUGGAGGAAUACCGAUGGCGAAGGCAGCCCCCUGGGAUAACACUGACGCUCAUGCACGAAAGC